UUAGAAAAUCAAAACUUCCUGAUGAGGAGCAACCAAACAUCAGCCCCAUCAUCAGGAAAGCUUCUCUGAAAAAGGAGAAGAGGUUAAAAAAGAAAAUAAAGAAAGAAAAGAAGGAGAAAAGGGAGGUGGAACAGAAGGAGGAAGACGAGGAGGAGGUGAAGGUGCAGAAGAAGGAUGAAAGAUCAGGGGAAGCUGAAAUUGAAACCAAAGAGAAAGCAGUGCAGACAGACAGCACACAAGAAGUAAAAUGGAAGCUUUUGGAGUAUUGGAUUAAUAAAGACCUAGAAGUACAGAGACGGCGAGAGGAAGAACUAAG